rnacentral:rRNA from 1 species
AAUGCCGCGUGUGUGAAGAAGGCCUGCGGGUUGUAAAGCACUUUCAGUGGGGAAGAAAGCCUGGGGUUAAUACCCUCGGGUCUUGACGUUACCCACAGAAGAAGCACCGGCUAACUCCGUGCCAGCACCGGCGGUGACUGAGCGGGCUGGCAAGGCGCAUA